rnacentral:rRNA from 1 species
UUCCAGACUCCUACGGAGGCAGCAGUGAGGAAUAUUGGUCAAUGGGCGGAAGCCUGAACCAGCCAAGUCGCGUGAGGGAAGAAGGCCCUGCGGGUCGCAGACCUCUUUGGACGGGGAGCAAGGCCGCCGACGUGUCGGCGGAAGGAGAGUACCCGUAGAACAAGCAUCGGCUAACUCCGUGCCAGCAGCCGCGGUAAUACGUAGGGGGCGAGCGUUAUCCGGAUUUACUGGGUGUAAAGGGAGCGUAGACGGUUCUGCAAGUCUGAAGUGAAAGCCCGUGGCUUAACCGCGGAACGGCUUUGGAAACUGUGGAACUGGAGUGCUGGAGAGGCAAGCGGAAUUCCUAGUGUAGCGGUGAAAUGCGUAGAUAUUAGGAGGAACACCAGUGGCGAAGGCGGCUUGCUGGACAGUAACUGACGUUGAGGCUCGAAAGCGUGGGGAGCAAACAGGAUUAGAUACCCGUGUA